rnacentral:misc_RNA from 1 species
GUCUUCGGACCUUUACCACUGAGAGAAGCGGGAGACACGUGAUCUGUAUGCUCCCCGCGUAACCGUAGAUCGGAGUUGGCCGUUCCAAGAUUCCGUUUGGAUCUAACGCGUUACGCUAUCCCGCCUGGGAAUGACGCCCGAAAGUUAAACUUCAAGAAAUUGACGGGGCCCCGCCACAAGCCGCGAAGCAUGCGUAUUAUUUAGAUGCACGAGAAGAUCUUUUCCUUGGCUUUGACAUGUUCCCUGACUGAUUCCCAGAGAUGGUGUUCUCCCUUUCCGGGCGGGUUCACCAGGUGCAUCAUGGUCGUCGUCAGCUUGUUGUCGAGAAGAUUGUUGGGAUUUAGUCCCACCAGACGAGCCGCACCUCCUUCGCCCCGUUGUUACCAGCAGGAUUGAUUGCGGGGAUACUUCACGGGGGGACCCCCGGGUGAUUACUUAGGAGGAAGGUGGAGGAUGACUUCAUGAUCAUCAUCCCCUUUACUUCCAGGUCUUCACGCAUGCUACAACGGCUGGUACAGGGGAGGCACCACGAGGAGCUGGGGCGGAUCCAUAAAAACCGUUCUCAGUUCGGUUAGCAUUCAGCACUUCGACGGGAUGAAGGAGGAGUCGUUAGUAUUGAAUAAUCACCAACGCGGCGAUGAAGGUGUUCCGGGCCUUACACCCCACCGCCCGCCAAUCCAUAAAAGUGAGCACCACCAGAAGCCGGUGGCUUACCCCCUGGGGGGAGGCAGCCUUUAAAGAGGAGCUUGGUGAUGGGGAAUAAGUGGCAACAAGGUACCCGUCCCGGAAGGGGCGGCUGGACCUCCUCUUUUUUACGAAGAAUACGGCCGGAUUUUCUUCCGGCGGGGGGUCCCCCGGCGUGGCGGCAGUGGCGGCGUUUGGGGGCUGUUGUGGAGGAGAAGAUCAGGGGUUUUCGGGUCUUCCGUGGGGGGAUGUUCCGGGGGAGUGGGGGGGAGCCGUUUUGGGGCUCCCGGAUCCCCCCCCCAGCCUUUGGCCUGGCGCGAUUCGAUGCCCAUCGUGCCUGAUGGCGGGCUGGUCCCGUCCGGACGGCGUGGUGGUGCGUGGUGGCUUGAGAACUGGAUAGUGGACGCGAGCAAGACGGGGUUUCCUUUGAUUCCUCGUUCUUGCUGUUGAUUUAGAAUCGAACUCUAUUUUUAGUGUUUGUUUCGAUCGUUUUGUGAUCAUUUUAGUGUGAUGAUUUGUCGUCUGGGAAUUUGCUAGGAAGGAUCCUUGCGGCCAUGCGCACCGUGGUCUCGU